UCCACCUACGUCAGGAUCCUGUUUUCUAACAAUGGCCAAUGCCAGGUGCUUCUGAAAGAAUGAACAGAACAGAUAAUUAUUAAAUGGGCCAUCCCCUGACAUCUAUGGACAAUGAAUCAGUCCUUAGUAAGUCAAAAGCAACAAGUGAUAAAUGAUUCAGAGGGGCCUCUACUCAAGUUUGAACUAUCACAGGUAUCAUUCUUCUGUACGAGAACACACUGUGCUGUAUACAGAAAUCUGUCUCUGUUAUCUAUUCAGAAACUACAAAACAUUCCUAGACACAUCCAAUUCUGAGGUAUAGACAGACAUACCCCAGAACUGUGGCACCCAUUAACCUAUCAAGCAAGUAUGUGCAGCUGUGUUUUGAUCAGUGAAAAGGUUUUCUGGAAUCCAAGAACUGAAAUCACCUUUUGGGGUAUGACAAACACAUCCAAGCAUCUAGCAAGUGAAAAUCAAGGGCUUCUCUAAGGAAGGAAUAAGAGAAAUUACCACAAAGAAUUAAAAGUAAAGAUUCCCUGGGACUGAUGUCAGUUUUUUGUAGGAAAGUAUGACCAUAUGCUCAUUGUAUGGAAUGCGAGGGGCCAGAAAUCCAUCCUCUGAUGUCUAGUUGAUGUCUGUUAACUGAUGCUAAACAACCUUCAGGGAGGCAAAGGAAGCAGUAGAUCAAUAGGAUGUCUUGACUGAAGUUGCCUGCAGCAGUUCCAUUUCUCAGAUUGGACACUGAUGCUAACUAUCAAUAGCAAUAAGAGGCUGUCUCAGACAGAAUUAAGGCUGUUUCUUCUGCAUGGCUGUCUGAUGGUUACUGAUAAACAUCUUGUGCACAGGAUUGCAACAAAUAAACCAU